UACAGAGGUCUCAAGCGUUGUUCGGAAUCACUGGGCGUAAAGGGUGCGUAGGCUGCACGGUAAGUCAGAGGUGAAAUCCCGGAGCUCAACUUCGGAAUUGCCUCCGAUACUGCCGUGCUUGAGGACUGGAGAGGAGAUUGGAAUUCACAGUGGAGCAGUGAAAUGCGUAGAUAUUGUGAGGAACACUAGUGGCGAAGGCGGCGAUCUGGGAAGAUACUGACGCUGAGGUGCGAAAGCGUGGGGAGCAAACAGG
rnacentral:rRNA from 1 species